CAGUCGCCGCGGGAAUACGAAGGGUGCAAGCGUUAAUCGGAAUUACUGGGCGUAAAGCGUGCGUAGGCGGUUUGUUAAGUCUGCUGUGAAAUCCCCGGGCUCAACCUGGGAAUGGCAGUGGAUACUGGCAAGCUAGAGUGUGUCAGAGGAUGGUGGAAUUCCCGGUGUAGCGGUGAAAUGCGUAGAGAUCGGGAGGAACAUCAGUGGCGAAGGCGGCCAUCUGGGACAACACUGACGCUGAGGCACGAAAGCGUGGGGAGCAAACAGGAUUAGAUACCCCAGUAGUCCCUGUCUUUUAUAC
rnacentral:rRNA from 1 species